rnacentral:lncRNA from 1 species
CUUGCAUUCUCUUUGUUUCUAAUGGUUGGUUCCUCGCCCUAUUUUGAUGUUUUGUACUGCACGAAGUCUUCCCAGAAGGCCCUCAGCUUUACAUAUUGCUUGAGGUUGAAAUUUGGAGUCUCGUUUUUCUUGACAAAUUUAUUGUACAAAGACUUCUUCCAAUUCUGGAACAGUACCGCCAUCUUCUUCAUAGUCCAGUCAUAAAUUCACACCUUCAACUCUUCAUCGUUGGUGUCGAAGGUGAAAACGUCCGUGACGGCUUUCCAAACUAACUCCUUGUCACGAUCAGAGACAAAACUAAUUUCAGGAGCACCUCGCUUCUCUCACCAUUCACGAGCACUGAUCGGUAUUUGAUCUCUCACAAGGUAUCCACUGUGACUAACAUAUUUAUUUGCAUGUUCACCAAGUGGUCUGCCUGUAGCUAUCUUAAACUCGAUGAUUACAUAGCGGCCCUCCAAUGGCUUCUUUGGCCCUCGUGGAGGUACGCUUCUCCCUGUAGAGGUCGAUCCAGAAGGCUACACGUAGAUAUAGAAACAAAAAUACUAAAUUAAUAACCAAGUAAGUCUAAAACCUAAUGUAAGAGAUACAUUAUAUAUAUUUACAUUUACAUACCUCGCCGGUAUUUCCUUCUUGUUGCACGACAAGUUGUUGCUCAGACGCAUUGCCCUGUUGCUCAGGGGCAUUGUCCUCUUGUUGCUCAGUCGGAUUGCCUUGCAUGAUCUCGUUGUAAUCAAUAAAGUACUGACUACCGUCGUCGAUCAUAUUUUGAAUGGCAUCUUCCAUAUAUUCAGGAUCAUCGUG